rnacentral:rRNA from 1 species
CAGGCCAUACCACAUUGAAAACACCGGUUCUCGUCCGAUCACCGAAGUUAAGCAAUGUCGGGCCCGGUCAGUACUUGGGAGAGUGACCACCUGGGAACACCGGGUGCUGUAGGCU